UAUAAAGAUGGUGUCUUCAUUGGCAAUGAGUCUUCAGGUCACAUGACCCUCCUCCAUGUCUCCAGCUCUGAUGAAGGCCUCUAUAAGUGCAGCAUCAGCGGUCAGGGAGAGUCUCCAUCCAGCAGGAUCUCUGUGGAAGAGAAACCAACCACUCAGCCUCCUCCUCUUCAUUAUGUUCUUUAUUCUAUUGUCUGCAUCAUUCCACUGGUUUUACUUCUGCUACUGGUUCUACUGGUGAGACGAGGAAUUCAUAGGAAAGAGACUCAACAUACAAGUGAAGAACAGGAAGUUGAAGAUGACAGAAUCUUCUACAGUGAUGUCAGAAUAAAACAGCAUCAUGAGAAAAAAACAUU